UACGUAGGGUGCGAGCGUUGUCCGGAAUUAUUGGGCGUAAAGAGCUCGUAGGCGGUCUAUCGCGUCGAUCGUGAAAACUUGGGGCUUAACCCUGAGCUUGCGGUCGAUACGGGCAUGACUGGAGUUCGGCAGGGGAGACUGGAAUUCCUGGUGUAGCGGUGAAAUGCGCAGAUAUCAGGAGGAACACCGGUGGCGAAGGCGGGUCUCUGGGCCGAUACUGACGCUGAGGAGCGAAAGCGUGGGGAGCGAACAGG
rnacentral:rRNA from 1 species